AGCUAUGUGGGAUUAUAUAUAGUGUUUUCUGCUCAAUGGGUACUAAAUAGCCGCAGUAACUUGACUGUGCAAAGGUAGCAUAAUAAUUUGGCUUAUAAUUGAAGUCUGGUAUGAAUGAAUAUAUGGGUACCAACUGUCUCCAUUAUAUAACAUGAAUUUACUGAUUGGGUGCAAAUUCCCAUUUCAAGAUAAUAGACGAGAAGACCCUAGAAAUUUUCAAUUACACUUUUUGCUGGGGCGGCAGAAUAACACAAAACUUAUUUUACUAUAUUAUCUAAUAUAUUAUGGAAAAACAAUUACUCUAGGGAUAACAGCAUAAUUUAUUUAGUUUGUGACCUCGAUGUUGGACUAAGGUAAUUAUUAUUCAGAAGAUAGUAAUUGAUGCUCUGUUCGAGCAAAACUUCCUUACA
rnacentral:rRNA from 1 species